UUCCAUAUAGUGUAGUGGUUUAGCAUUCCAGAUUUUCAUUCUGGCGACCCGGGUUCGAACCCCGGUAUGGAAA
rnacentral:tRNA from 1 species